rnacentral:sRNA from 1 species
UAGUAGCAGAAACUAUUACUGGAAAUGA